GAUGAACGCUGGCGGCGUGCCUAAUACAUGCAAGUCGAGCGAACAGACGAGGAGCUUGCUCCUCUGACGUUAGCGGCGGACGGGUGAGUAACACGUGGAUAACCUACCUAUAAGACUGGGAUAACUUCGGGAAACCGGAGCUAAUACCGGAUAAUAUAUUGAACCGCAUGGUUCAAUAGUGAAAGACGGUUUUGCUGUCACCUAUAGAUGGAUCCGCGCCGCAUUAGCUAGUUGGUAAGGUAACGGCUUACCAAGGCAACGAUGCGUAGCCGACCUGAGAGGGUGAUCGGCCACACUGGAACUGAGACACGGUCCAGACUCCUACGGGAGGCAGCAGUAGGGAAUCUUCCGCAAUGGGCGAAAGCCUGACGGAGCAACGCCGCGUGAGUGAUGAAGGUCUUCGGAUCGUAAAACUCUGUUAUUAGGGAAGAACAAAUGUGUAAGUAACUAUGCACGUCUUGACGGUACCUAAUCAGAAAGCCACGGCCAACUACGUG
rnacentral:rRNA from 1 species